CUAAAAAGUUAUUUCAUAUUUUGAUUAGUUUUCAAUUUUAUAAUACAUUUUGUUAUAAGAACGAUAAGUUAUCAUAAGAACAAACAUAAAAAAACAAAUGUCUUUCAACGUUGGUCGAUUGCAUCCGAAUCGACGGACUCGAUGUUAUCCUGUUUUAUGAACGUUUCAAAUUGUUUUUUUAAUAUUGUUGUUGUUUUAUUUAAUUUUUGUUAGGGGUGGGGGAUGAUCACUAUUACUUUAAUGAAGUAAACGUCAAUCAUGAAAAAGUUGAAAGUUAUUUUCCUUUUUUUUUUAAUUCUUGUCAACCGCUAAGUCCGGUAUAUUUCAUUUAUUUAGAGGGGUCAAAAAGAUGGGUAUUAAUUAUAUUUUUCAUCAGGUAUAAAUUGAAUAGUUUUUACGCAAUAUUUAAGCUAAAAGAUAUGGAGAGUCAUAUUUUAUCAUUUUCGUUUUAUAAAUAAUGUGAGAAAUAAAAAUACUGUGGACUUUCAUCUUGUAGUAAAUACUAAACCUUCAGUCAGACUUCAAGAAUAUGAGCUAAUUUUGUAGGGGUUAUAUAGUGCCUAUAUAUAUAUAUAUAUAUAUAUUUGUGUGAUGCUACUAAUUAUAACUUGUCCACGGCGUUUGUAUAAUAUUAGAUCCAUAAACUAUGAAAUUUUGUGUACGUUUCACAUAAUGUUUUGUUAAAUUAUUCAAUGUUUGCUAACUUGUAACUUUAAAAAGUUCAAAUUUAAGCGGAACCUAAACGUGUUUUUGAAAGGAACAUAUUCUUAUUCGAGAGAGUAUAUGUUGCAAUUACCAAGUAAUCUUUUUAAUUUGUAAAAGAUAAAUGCAGAACUGCAGUUUUAUUAGAGAUAUUAUCAAUUUUUAGGAACAUUGCCUGUAACUUAGCAAACCUCUAAAAAUCUUGUAAAUGUUUAUGUAUCAAAACUUAUUGAAAAAUGUAAUAGAGUUACUGAGAGUCACAAUAUUUAAAGUAUUAGGAAAAAGUAUUGUUUUGAAAGCAGCCUUUCAGUUUAUGACACAGCGAAUGAUUAAGUAUAGUAAUACAGGCAGUUAGUGGAAAGCGAACGAGUGUUUCAUUUUUUUUUCAUAAAAUUUUAUGUAUGUUG
rnacentral:lncRNA from 1 species